AUAAAGAUAGAUAUGUCAAAAUGGAAGAAGACACAUGAAUGAAAUGUAGACUUCUUUCAACAGAAAGUCAAACAAAAUAAUUAUCCAGUGACAGACGUUGAUAAAUAGUAUUUUACUAGAUUUGCAGUAGAGCUAAGAAAAGUAACUAAUGAAACCACAACACCAAAACUUCAUAAAUGCAAAUAUUUUUCCUUUCAAUCAGACCACUCCCCUCAUAGACCUCUUAACAUGGAACCAAGUAGCUACCCAAGCCAAUGCACAACCACUCGAGUCUUUGGUUGCUCGUCCACGGUUGCUCGUUCACCAUGCAUAGUUCUUACUUUAAAGGAUACAAAUCAAUGGCCAGUAAACAAGCAUGGCUGCAAUAGAAAAUCACAAUUAAAAAGAAUGUAUUCCAAUAACAGAAUCCAUGGGCUUGAAUAAAUAGUAAUACAAUACCCUUUGUUAUAUAAUAUAUGCAUAUACAAUCAUCAAGUUUUCAUAUCGAUCAUAUCUUUAUCAAAUUACUCUAUGAACAAUACCGAAUUCUAAAUUAAAUCCAUAAACACCACAUAAAAUAAAAUAACGAGAUAAAACAUAAGAAGUUAAAUUAACUGCAUAUUGAAUUACCUAAUAUGUUUCAUUCCCAUAUGAUGGUAUAAUAUCUUCAAAAAAGUCAUCAUUAUCAUUGGAAUCAGAUUUAUCACUAGAAAAGUGUUCUGCUUCAUCAUCUUCAUCAUUGAACUUAUCAACAUUAUCUUUCCAAAACAACAUGCAAUCGUUAGGGCAUGCAUGAAUCUUUUUAUACUCAAGUCCCAACUCUUUGAUUAUGCUACAAGUUUCAAAUAAAUAAACAAGCAUAUCUACCUCUCCCCCACAGGCAAUUUCAAAUAAAUAAACAUGCAUCUCUGCCUCUCCCCCAUCGGCAGUUUCAAAUACAUAAACAUGCAUCUCUACCUCUCCCCCACCGGCAGUUUAAAGAAACAUAAUUACACUAAUCAAUAUAAUAUAUAAGUCAAUUUAAAAAACUAACUUGUACACGAUGAUGUAGGCUGGUGGCAAUAACACGGUGGCUCGCAGCAAACAGGCACGAAAUAGGGCUAAAAUUAAAAAAAUUGAAUCAAUAAUAUAGAUCAAUAAUGUAGCAUGGAAUAUAAGAUUAAGUGGAGAUGGUCAAAUAACACAUGACUAUCUUUGAGCAGGUUUAUAUGCAAAAAAAAAUAUGAUGCACUGAUGGUGAGACCAUUUAGUUAGUGCUAGUUUCUCUUAUGAUAUUGGCUUUCUUUAGGUUAGUUGAUUCUUGCAUUUGAAUUAUUCCAACUCCAAAAAUGCUUGUUUCCCACUUGAAUCUAUGUAAAGAGUAUUCACAUGUUUAUCCAGAAUUCCAAAGUCAAAGCUUUUUCAAUGUUCUUUUCCAUAUGCAGAGAUACAAAUAUGAAAGGGAUAACAUUAACUUACACGAUUGUCUUGCUUUCUUUAACCUUAAUCGGAACGUGCAGACAUAAAAAGAUGAUUCUUUAUGAAGUUGACCCAAUACGACUCUAAAUAUUUGUUAAUUAUAUUAAUCAGUGUUGAUUAAAAUUAACAGGGAUUAAUUAAAAUUUUAAUAAAGAUCUAGUAAUCCACGAUCUAGUAAGCAGCACCUUGAGUCUAAAGCAAAUUCCUAACUUAGUUAAAUCUCAUAGAAAUUGCUAACUUAGUUAUCGCUUACAAGUUCACUUAACUAAACAAAUUGUACCGUUAUUAAAUCAUCCAAAUGCACAAACAUUACACAUGCAGAUGCAUCAUGCAGCUACAAUUAAUGUGAUUAUAACAUAAAAAACUACACAUUCAAAACCUCAUUCUCGAUUCAUACCUUGAUAAAAUUUACGGAUGGAUAUCUCUGAUAGAGCUACUCUACAACUUGCAAGAUUUCACUUCAUCCUUCAUCUUCACAAUUCCACAAUUCCAAUUGGCAAAAUUCAAAAAUCAUGAGUAAAAUAUAGAAAGCAGGGGGAGACGGUGAAUCCUCACUGCCGAUUAGAGGAGACGGGCCGAGAGGCGUGGGUAAGAUUAUAUUGUUUUCGCCUUUUCGUACAGCGCAGCAGGGCGACGACUUAGGUGACGAUCGCGGCAAUUCCGAAGGAGGAGGGCUGGGGCGGGGACAGGCCGUGAGUUGGAACUCAAUUGUGCAAGAGACGGCUG
rnacentral:lncRNA from 1 species